rnacentral:rRNA from 1 species
GUGUCAGCCGCCGCGGUAAUACGUAGGGGGCGAGCGUUGUCCGGAUUUACUGGGCGUAAAGGGUGAGUAGGCGGUCAUAUAAGUCAGGUGUAAAAAGCUAAGGCUUAACCAUAGUAAGCACUUGAAACUGUAUGACUUGAGUGCAGGAGAGGUAAGCGGAAUUCCUAGUGUAGCGGUGAAAUGCGUAGAUAUUAGGAGGAACACCGGUGGCGAAGGCGGCUUACUGGACUGUAACUGACGCUGAGUCACGAAAGCGUGGGUAGCAAACAGGAUUAGAUACCCUGGUAGUCCACGCUGUAAACGAUGAGUGCUAGGUGUUGGGCAGCAAUGCUCAGUGCCGAAGUAAACACAAUAAGCACUCCGCCUGGGGAGUACGUACGCAAGUAUGAAACUCAAAUAAAUUGACGG